CUCUCUGUAUCAGCUGGGGGAAAGGGAAGGUGCCCGCUUGGAUGCUUGGACACCCCCAGCCUUGCCACUUUGUUGAGGGACUUGGCUAGAGAUUGUCUUUGAUGACCCUCGGGCAGCCCUCACCCUGGGCCUCCGCUUCGAUGGGGGAGGAAGGGCACGGCUAUGACGGGUAACCCUCCCAAAGCACGACCUUAGUUCGCUUGGGAAAAAGGAAGGUGCAUCUUAUGUGGACCAUGUCCAGAAAUGGUACAAAUGCAGAUGUGGUCAUGGAUGGAGUUCCUUGUAAACGAAUGAAGGUGGAGGCAGUGGAUCCUGUUUCACCUUUGAACUUUGACAGCCCUGAAGCUCUCUUUGAGAGUUUGAUCUCACCCAUCAAGACAGAAACUUUUUUCAAGGAAUACUGGGAACAGAGGCCCCUUCUAAUUCAGAGAGAUGAUCCCUCACUGGCUGCUUACUUUCAGUCCCUUUUCCAGUUAACAGAUUUGAAGCAUCUGUGCAGACAGGGGAUGUAUUAUGGAAGAGAUAUAAAUGUGUGCCGAUGUGUGAAUGGGCGGAAGAAGGUGUUAAAUAAGAGUAGCAAAGUACACUACCUCCAACUGAGAAAAGAUUUUGAUCAGAAAAGGGCAACCAUCCAGUUCCACCAGCCUCAGAGAUUUAAGGAUGAGUUAUGGAAAAUCCAGGAGAAGUUGGAAUGUUUUUUUGGAUCUCUGGUUGGAUCUAAUGUGUAUAUAACUCCUUCAGAGUCCCAGGGCUUGCCUCCUCAUUAUGAUGAUAUUGAGGUGUUUAUCUUGCAACUGGAAGGAAAGAAACACUGGCGCUUAUACCAACCCACUGUGCCACUUGCUCGAGAGUACAAUGUGGAGCCAGAGGACAAGAUUGGGGCACCAACACAUGAGUUCACAUUAAAGCCAGGGGAUUUGUUAUACUUCCCCCGAGGGACCAUCCAUCAAGCUGACACUCCUCCUGGGCUAGCCCAUUCUACUCAUGUGACCAUCAGCACCUACCAGAACAAUUCAUGGGGAGACUUUCUUCUGGAUGUAAUUCCUGGGCUUCUCUUUGAUACUGCAAAGAAAGAAAUAAAAUUUCGAACUGGUAUACCACGGCAACUACUUAUGCAGGUGGAUGACACAGCUGUUUCAACAGAGAGAUUAAGUGGCUUCCUGAGGCUGCUUGCAGACCAGUUGGAGGGUACCAGAGACCUGAGAUCAUCUGAAAUGAAGAAGGAUUUCAUUAGGAGCAGAUUGCCACCAUAUUAUUUGGGGGAUGGUUCCAGUCUCUCCAUCCCAGAUGGAAGGUACCCAAAAUUAAAUAGCAAAGUAAAACUUCGAUUUAAAGACUAUAUUGUUAUGACUGUGGAGACAGACAAGGAUACAUCUGGUGAGAUUCAAGAGCAGAUGGUUUACAUUUAUCAUUCUUUGAGGAAUAAGCGGAAUGCACACAUGAUGUUUGGAAAUGACAAUGAAAUGGCUGAGGCUCUUGGACUUCGUUUUUCUUUAUCCUAUAUGGAUGCCCUGAAACAACUUUGGAGUUCUGAAAUUAUUUCUGUUAAGGAACUGAAACUAAAUACUGAUGCAGAAAAAGAAAACCUGGUAUUAGCACUCUGGACUGAAUGCCUAGUGGAAGUAAUCUAGUGCCUUUGCCAAGCCACUGCUUCCUAUAAAAGGGCUUUUGUGGCAAUAGAUGGAAAAAUUACUUAGCCAUUUCUAGACCUUCUUUUCUGGAUUCUGCCAUCAUGCCCUGGGAACCAUCUCCAUGCUGCACAAAAAUCACUUCUGCCCUGGAACUUGCAUCUGAUCAAAUACCUUCUGCUCUUUCUUCUGACUGGAGAGAGUGAACAAGACAAGCUUUAUUUUCCAUCUGGGUACACUUCUGUGGACUUUGACAUUAUGCCAUCCUAUAGCUACUUUGUCCUCCAACCUAAUUUUUCAGCUUUCUUUUUAUAUGUUCCUUUUCCCAAUCAGAUUUAAGUUCCUUCAGGGCAUGAACUGUCUUUCAUUUUGGGGAAGGGGUUUUUCUCAGUACUUAAGAUAGUAUCUGACAAAAGAAAUACUUAAUGUUUAUUUACUGAUUAAUAGUGAUGACCAUGGAUAUCCUUACUGGAUAAAUCUUACUGGAAAAGCCAAUGCUUCUAACAUUUCUCCAUUACA